AUUGCAAUUGUGGUUGGAACUAAAAUCAGCUUGCACCCACCCUGAGGUUUAGAACCACUGUUUUAGCUUGUAAUACGUAAAGCUCAAUUUUGCGAGACGCAGCGCCUAACCUUCCAGUUCGCGUAAAAAUGUGGCCGAACCCAAAAUCCAUGUAACCCAACAAAAACCCGAGCGCUACACGGAGCUUGAUUCAUUCUAACUGCGACAGAAGAAAGGGACUUUCUACUUGAAUGCGAAUCUCCCACUGCUGACAACAGUGACGGAUUGGAGUUCGCUAGUUUUCAGGGGGUUCCAGGCGAUGCAAUUUCGUAAAGCCUAGACAGUUCGUUUCCGCGUUUACAAAAGAGCGUGAGCGAGCCCUUCUGUCGGCAGCGCACAAAGGGUGCGCACCUUUCACUUGGAAAGAAAGAGAGGGGAGAGUUAGCACGAUAAUGAACACGAGCAAGCUUACUAACGGGCUAAAUUAGAACAAAUAUCAUCGAAAUUUGAAGGAAAUAGCCACUGAGGAGACAUUUACGACCACGCGCUGGCGAUAUCCUGUACAGAACCAGACCUUUUUACGGAGAGUGCGAAGUGUCCUCGCGACGUCCCGGCAUCUAGGCUGUCCAACAGGCCCAGCCACUGACCGAGCUGCCACCACAGAGUGACCAAGAGA